rnacentral:rRNA from 1 species
GAUGAACGCUGGCGGCGUGGAUAAGGCAUGCAAGUCAAACGAUAUCAUGCAGCUUGCUGGAUGAGAAAGUGGCGCACGGGUGCGUAACGCGUACGCAACCUACCUUUAUCAGGGGGAUAGCCCGGAGAAAUCCGGAUUAAUACCGCAUAAAAUCACAGGAUGGCAUUAUCCAAUGAUCAAACAUUUAUGGGAUAAAGAUGGGCAUGCGUGUCAUUAGCUAGUUGGCGGGGUAACGGCCCACCAAGGCGACGAUGACUAGGGGAUCGGAGAGGAUGGCCCCCCACACUGGUACUGAGACACGGACCAGACUCCUACGGGAGGCAGCAGUAAGGAAUAUUGGUCAAUGGGCGGAAGCCUGAACCAGCCAUGCCGCGUGCAGGAAGACUGCCCUAUGGGUUGUAAACUGCUUUUAUCCGGGAAUAAACCUGCUUACGUGUAAGUAGCUGAAUGUACCGGAAGAAUAAGGAUCGGCUAACUCCGUGCCAGCCGCCGCCGUAA